rnacentral:rRNA from 1 species
UACGAAGGGGGCUAGCGUUGUUCGGAAUUACUGGGCGUAAAGAGCGCGUAGGCGGUUUGUCGCGUCUGCCGUGAAAGUCCGGGGCUCAACUCCGGAUCUGCGGUGGGUACGGGCAGACUAGAGUGCAGUAGGGGAGACUGGAAUUCCUGGUGUAGCGGUGAAAUGCGCAGAUAUCAGGAGGAACACCGAUGGCGAAGGCAGGUCUCUGGGCUGUAACUGACGCUGAGGAGCGAAAGCAUGGGGAGCGAACAGG